rnacentral:rRNA from 1 species
UACGUAGGGGGCAAGCGUUGUUCGGAAUUACUGGGCGUAAAGGGCGCGUAGGCGGUACGACAAGUCAGGAGUGAAAGCCCGGGGCUCAACCCCGGAACUGCUUUUGAAACUGUCGAACUAGAGUGCAGAAGAGGCAACCGGAAUUCCCAGUGUAGCGGUGAAAUGCGUAGAUAUUGGGAAGAACACCUGAGGCGAAGGCGGGUUGCUGGGCUGACACUGACGCUGAGGCGCGAAAGCUAGGGGAGCGAACAGG